rnacentral:rRNA from 1 species
GACGAACGCUGGCGGCGUGCUUAACACAUGCAAGUCGAACGAUGAACCCGGAGCUUGCUCCGGCGGAUUAGUGGCGAACGGGUGAGUAACACGUGAGUAACCUGCCCUUGACUCUGGGAUAACUGCUAGAAAUGGUAGCUAAUACCGGAUACGACCCUCGGUGGCAUCACCAGGGGGUGGAAAGAAUUUCAGUCAAGGAUGGACUCGCGGCCUAUCAGCUAGUUGGUGAGGUAACGGCUCACCAAGGCGACGACGGGUAGGCGGCCUGAGAGGGUGACCGACCACACUGGGACUGAGACACGGGCCAGACUCCUACGGGAGGCAGCAGUGGGGAAUAUUGCACAAUGGGCGCAAGCCUGAUGCAGCAACGCCGCGUGAGGGAUGACGGCCUUCGGGUUGUAAACCUCUUUUAGUAGGGAAGAAGCGAAAGUGACGGUACCUGCAGAAAAAGCACCGGCUAACUACGUGCCAGCAGCCGCGGUAA